rnacentral:rRNA from 1 species
GACGAACGCUGGCGGCGUGCCUAAUACAUGCAAGUAGAACGCACAGUUUAUACCGUAGCUUGCUACACCAUAAACUGUGAGUUGCGAACGGGUGAGUAACGCGUAGGUAACCUGCCUGGUAGCGGGGGAUAACUAUUGGAAACGAUAGCUAAUACCGCAUAAUAUUAAUUAUUGCAUGAUAAUUGAUUGAAAGAUGCAAUUGCAUCACUACCAGAUGGACCUGCGUUGUAUUAGCUAGUAGGUGAGGUAACGGCUCACCUAGGCGACGAUACAUAGCCGACCUGAGAGGGUGAUCGGCCACACUGGGACUGAGACACGGCCCAGACUCCUACGGGAGGCAGCAGUAGGGAAUCUUCGGCAAUGGACGAAAGUCUGACCGAGCAACGCCGCGUGAGUGAAGAAGGUUUUCGGAUCGUAAAGCCCUGUUGUAAGAGAAGAACGGGUGUGAGAGUGGAAAGUUCACACUGUGACGGUAUCUUACCAGAAAGGGACGGCUAACUACGUG